rnacentral:rRNA from 1 species
CCUACGGGAGGCAGCAGUGGGGAAUAUUGCACAAUGGGGGGAACCCUGAUGCAGCGACGCCGCGUGAGUGAAGAAGUAUUUCGGUAUGUAAAGCUCUAUCAGCCGGGAAGAAAAUGACGGUACCUGACUAAGAAGCCCCGGCUAACUACGUGCCAGCAGCCGCGGUAAUACGUAGGGGGCAAGCGUUAUCCGGAUUUACUGGGUGUAAAGGGAGCGUAGACGGUUGUGCAAGUCUGAAGUGAAAGCCCAGGGCUCAACCCUGGGACUGCUUUGGAAACUGUAUAGCUAGAGUGCAGGAGAGGUAAGCGGAAUGCCUAGUGUAGCGGUGAAAUGCGUAGAUAUUAGGAAGAACACCGGUGGCGAAGGCGGCUUGCUGGACAGUAACUGACGUUGAGGCUCGAAAGCGUGGGGAGCAAACAGGAUUAGAUACCCGUGUAGUC